rnacentral:rRNA from 1 species
AGAAAAUAGAUACCCUGGUAGUCCACGCAGUAAACGAUGAGUGCUAGUCAUUGGGGUCAUAGAUCUCGGUGGCGAAAGCUAACGCGUUAAGCACUCCGCCUGGGGAGUACGGCCGCAAGGCUAAAACUCAAAGGAAUUGACGGGGACCCGCACAAGCAGUGAAGCAUGUGGUUUAAUUCGAUGCUACGCGAAAAACCUUACCAGCUCUUGUAUCCUCACUAUGAUUCUCAGAAAUGAGUUUCUUCACUUCGGGUGGGUGAGAGACAGGUGUUGCAUGGCUGUCGUCAGCUCGUGUCGUGAGAUGUUAGGUUAAGUCCUUCAACGAGCGCAACCCUCAUCCUUAUUUGCCAUCGGGUUAUGCCGGGAACUAUAAGGAAACUGCCAACGACAAGUUGGAGGAAGGUGGGGAUGAUGUCAAGUCAUCAUGGCCCUUAUGGGCUGGGCUACACACACGCUACAAUGGUGGUUACAACGGGUAAAGCGAAAGAGCAAUCUGGAGCCAAUCCUAUAAAAGCC